GAUCCCUUUAUCUGUCCUCUAG
rnacentral:miRNA from 1 species